rnacentral:rRNA from 1 species
AGACAGGUGCUGCAUGGCUGUCGUCAGCUCGUGUUGUGAAAUGUUGGGUUAAGUCCCGCAACGAGCGCAACCCUUAUCCUUUGUUGCCAGCGGUCCGGCCGGGAACUCAAAGGAGACUGCCAGUGAUAAACUGGAGUAAGGUGGGGAUGACGUCAAGUCAUCAUGGCCCUUACGACCAGGGCUACACACGUGCUACAAUGGCGCAUACAAAGAGAAGCGACCUCGCGAGAGCAAGCGGACCUCAUAAAGUGCGUCGUAGUCCGGAUUGGAGUCUGCAACUCGACUCCAUGAAGUCGGAAUCGCUAGUAAUCGUGGAUCAGAAUGCCACGGUGAAUACGUUCCCGGGCCUUGUACACACCGCCCGUCACACCAUGGGAGUGGGUUGCAAAAGAAGUAGGUAGCUUAACCUUCGGGAGGGCGCUUACCACUUUGUGAUUCAUGACUGGGGUGAAGUCGUAACAAGGUAACCGUAGGGGAACCUGCGGUUGGAUCACCUCCUUA